CAGCAACCAAGGAGAAAGGAGCUCUCUCAUGGAAGGCAUGGAGUAUUUCCCGGAUGAGCAACAUUGAUCUGGAUGAGAAGAGUACAGCAUUUUGCAACAUUGAUGAGAGAUGCAAUUCGAAGUGGCAAGCAGUCUGCUGAUGGGUACAAGUAACAAGCAUUUACUGCAAAGGAAAAAAAGAAAAGAGAAUGAACAGGGUGUGCGUUUCAUUGAGGCUUACCUUGUUUAUGGACAUUGAUUGGCUUUUGUAACAACCAGGUGGCUAAUA